GCGCACAUGAUUAGAUGUCCCUCCACCCAAAGCUCCACCAUACAUUUAUAGUAUCACAAAAGUAUCACGCAGUCCUGAGCUGAGUACGAGACUAGGACAUCCAAGAUGGUGGACCGAUAAAAACACACUGACGAGUGACGACUUCGCGAAGUAAAG